UACGUAGGGAGCGUGCGUUAUCCGGAUUUAUUGGGCGUAAAGCGUGCGUAGGCGGUUUAUUAAGUUUAAGAUUAAAGCCUGGGGCUCAACUCCAGUUCGCCUUAAAAACUGGUAAACUAGAGUAUGGUAGAGGUAAAUGGAAUUUCUAGUGUAGCGGUGAAAUGCGUAGAUAUUAGAAGGAACACCGGUGGCGAAGGCGAUUUACUGGGCCAUAACUGGCGCUGAGGCACGAAAGCGUGGGGAGCAAAUA
rnacentral:rRNA from 1 species